rnacentral:lncRNA from 1 species
UCACACUAUGCGCAUGUGUCGCUUAAUUACCCUCAACUAAAAAACCAAACAAAGUAACCCCUCAACUAUUAACCGUUAUCACUACUGUCAUGAACAGUACAAAUUACUUUAUUCAUACCCUUGAUAAAACCCCUUACAAGCACACAUUUUCCUCAUACCGUUAAUACCCCCACUUACUAGCACACACAUUCAUAAAUAAAAGGUGACCCAAAUUCAAAUAGCUAGGCUUCUAGUAUGGGCGCUGCCCAUUGAAAUUACCAGGGGGAUCAUAGUUGCAAGUAACGAACCAUGACCCACUAUUGCCACUGACCCAGCGCACCCAAGCCGGACGAGUACUCCACAACAAUUUGAUGUAGUUGCCCACAAACCUUACCACCCGGGGCAACACGAAUUAGAUUUGUAGUCAUAGUCGGGCUCCUCUCCGGCCACAUGCCCACGGCCAUAGCCCCGGUGAAGUCGCCACUCUGCCUGCGGCGAUGUUCUCGCCGUACAUUCCACCACCGCCGGAGUGGAUCAUAGCACAAUCGUCAGCCCCUCUGGUUAGCGUAGUUCUCGGCGAAAGCGGCCACGUUGUGUCCCAGGUCAUGGUCCCACCCCAACUUGGUCACGAAUGGUGUUGUGGGCCUUAAGGUAGUCUUUGUGGGAAGUUUUGGGCUAGUGAGGAUUGAACCAUGGCUGGAUUGCGAACAAACGAGAGCUAAUGACAAGUUUCUUAGACAACCCACCCAUUUUUUUUCUCCAGUCUUGUUGAAGAUUGUUCGUGUGUGUGAGGACGAAGCCAUUAUCUUGAGGUAUUUAUAGAGAAAUAGUGUGGAAAAUUGUAUGGCGCGUGACUGGAAUUUUCAACCAAUAAAAGCAUGUCUUGUUGGAUCUAUAAAGAAUGGACACAGUUUCUCUGCAGUCCAAAGUCCAAGCAUUUUAAAUAUAUUUUGAUAAUUUAAACUGUUGAUAUUGUAGACUCUAUCGUAAAGAUCAAUAUUGUAAAAAUUAUGUUGAUCGGGUGCAAAUUAUAUCCGUUCAGUAUUAUUUUAUAAACUUAUAAAUGAGCAUAUUACACAGAAUUAUACCAAAUAUAAAUUGAUAUUAAUUGACCAUUGAUUUGUGUCCGAUCAAAGUUAUUUUUUUAUAGUAAAAAUUAUCGAUGAUAUCUACAAUAUGAACGGUUAGAUUCAUCAAUAUGAACCCGUAACAAAACUUAAAAUACUUGAGUUGUACUGAUACAGUUUAGAUUGGACUGUAAAGAAGUCCAAUCCUUAAAAGAAUAUCAACGUAAUCAUGUUGGCUUUACCUUUGGGUAAAUUUUUUCAAAUCUUUUUUCAUACUUUCUUCUAGAAUUAAUUGUGGUUAAAAAAUAUUUCAUUACAUUUUCUUUAACAUUUGAAAUGGCGCUCGAAAACUUAUUUUAAAACCGUCGCAAAGAACGAUAUUGUAUAACCAAAAUAUUAAUUUAAAAAUGAUUAAAUAAGCACGUACCACUUAGAUCUUAAUUUGCAACGGUAGCUAAUUGUGUCAGUUAGUUAUAAAAACUCUUAAGAUUGUAUUUGGAUCAAGGAUAUAUGGAGAGAUAUGUGGAGAAACAAAUUUCAAAAAAAAAGUUAAUAGACCCAAGAAUUUAAUCUUUAUUCUUUAAUUUUUUGCGUUAUUGUUGAACUUUCUUAUAUAAUUUAUUUUUUAAUUGCCGAGUUUUGAUGUCGAUUUACAAAAAGAAAAUACUUAAUUCCAAAUGAUAUCUCAGUAAAAAAAAAUCAUAGUAGAUAAUAAAUUAAUUAACCAAAUUUAUAACAAGUAUAAAAUUUUAAAAAGAAGAAUUUAGAAAGUAUAAAAUUUUAAUCAAUAAAAAAUAUAAUUAAAGAAAAAAAAACUCGUAAUUACAUUUAAAAAAUAAUACUUUUUAUUUUCUUUUAUUUUCGGGAAUGAAGCCCGGCAUCAGCGGCCAUGAUUUGCUGUCAAUAAAAUUACAGAUAAAAGACGAAGAAGUCUUGAAGGUGUGAACUUUCCAAUUCUGAGGUCAUUUGAAUUUUGGGUAAAUUUAAGAAACAACCCUUCCAUGUGCGCGUUAUCACUUAGGCUCCGUUUGGUAAUGCUUAAAAGUCAAUUUUUUUUUAAACUUGCUUCUAAAAAGGUCAAAAAAUUUUGACUUUUUUGCUUUUGUAGUUUUACUUUAGUUAAAACUAAGUAAAAAGGCAAAAAUAUAAAAGCAAAAAAGCCAAUUCUGAUUGGCUUUUUUGCUUAUUUUAAGCCAAAAAGUUAGAAAAAAAGCUAAAAAAAACUAGUGCCAAACGGAGCCUUAAUCCCAAACUAAAAACCCGAGCAAAAUGACCCUCUCAACUAUUAACCGUUAUGACUAAUUAUUCCAUUGUAAUUCGUCAAGUAACUUGACGGAAAGCUUUCAAAUGGCUCAAAAUAUUUUCUAAAAAUAUUCGUCAAGUAAUUAGUGACAACGGUUAAUCAUUGAGGGGCCACUUUGUUCGAUUUUUUAGUUGAGGGGAUUAAGUGACAC